rnacentral:rRNA from 1 species
GACGAACGCUGGCGGCGUGCUUAACACAUGCAAGUCGAGCGGUAAGGCCCUUUCGGGGGUACACGAGCGGCGAACGGGUGAGUAACACGUGGGUGACCUGCCCUCAGCUCUGGGAUAAGCCUGGGAAACCGGGUCUAAUACCGGAUAUGACUCCAUGACGCAUGUUGUGGGGUGGAAAGCCUUGUGCGGCUGAGGAUGGGCCCGCGGCCUAUCAGCUUGUUGGUGGGGUGANGGCCUACCAAGGCGACGACGGGUAGCCGGCCUGAGAGGGCGACCGGCCACACUGGGACUGAGACACGGCCCAGACUCCUACGGGAGGCAGCAGUGGGGAAUCUUGGACAAUGGGCGCAAGCCUGAUCCAGCCAUGCCGCGUGGGUGAAGAAGGCCUGG